rnacentral:sRNA from 1 species
UAUUCUGCCCUACAGGGAAGGAUGAGAAGCUUCGACUAAGGUUCGACUCGAGCGAAGCGAGAGAACGUUGCGGCAGGCAACGGCCCGAAGGGCGAGGCGCUUUAGCGCCGAGUAAUCCUUCCCCCACCACCA